UUGGAGGGCACGUCUGGUGCCAGCAGCCGCGGUAAUUCCAGCUCCAAUAGCGUAUAUUAAAGUUGUUGCAGUUAAAAAGCUCGUAGUUGAAUUUCGGGAUCAAUAUAUUGGUCAUGCUUAGGUAUGUACUGGUAUUAUUGAUUUCUCCCUUCUGAAGAACCAUAAUGUCAUUAAUUUGAUGUCAUGGGGAAUCAGGACUGUUACUUUGAAAAAAUUAGAGUGUUUAAAGCAGGCUUUCGCUUGAAUACAUUAGCAUGGAAUAAUGAAAUAGGACGUUUGAUUCUAUUUUGUUGGUUUCUAGGAUCGACGUAAUGAUUAAUAGGGAUAGUUGGGGGCAUUAGUAUUCAAUUGUCAGAGGUGAAAUUCUUGGAUUUAUUGAAGACUAACUACUGCGAAAGCAUUUGCCAAGGAUGUUUUCAUUAAUCAAGAACGAAAGUUAGGGGAUCGAAGACGAUCAGAUACCGUCGUAGUCUUAACCAUAAACUAUGCCGACUAGGGAUCGGAUGAUGUUGAUUUUUUAAUGACUCAUUCGGCACCUUACGGGAAACCAAAGUGUUUGGGUUC
rnacentral:rRNA from 1 species